UACGAAGGGGGCUAGCGUUGUUCAGAAUCACUGGGCGUAAAGCGCACGUAGGCGGAUGUGCCAGUCAGGGGUGAAAUCCCGGAGCUCAACUCCGGAACUGCCUCUGAUACAGCACGUCUUGAGUUCGAGAGAGGUGGGUGGAAUUCCUAGUGUAGAGGUGAAAUUCGUAGAUAUUAGGAAGAACACCGGUGGCGAAGGCGGCCCACUGGCUCGAUACUGACGCUGAGGUGCGAAAGCGUGGGGAGCAAACAGG
rnacentral:rRNA from 1 species